AGAGUUUGAUUAUGGCUCAGGAUGAACGCUAGCUACAGGCUUAACACAUGCAAGUCGAGGGGCAGCGAGAGGAAAGCUUGCUUCCUGUCGGCGACCGGCGCACGGGUGAGUAACGCGUAUCCAACCUUCCCCUUAGUAGGGCAUAGCCCGGCGAAAGUCGGAUUAAUACCCUAUGUUAUUCGUAGAGGACAUCUGAAAUGAAUCAAAGAUUAAUCGCUAAGGGAUGGGGAUGCGUCCGAUUAGGUAGUCGGCGGGGUAACGGCCCACCGAGCCUUCGAUCGGUAGGGGUUCUGAGAGGAAGGUCCCCCACACUGGUACUGAGACACGGACCAGACUCCUACGGGAGGCAGCAGUGAGGAAUAUUGGUCAAUGGACGGGAGUCUGAACCAGCCAAGUAGCGUGCAGGAUGACGGCCCUAUGGGUUGUAAACUGCUUUUAUACGGGGAUAAAGUCGCCCACGUGUGGGUGUUUGUAGGUACCGUAUGAAUAAGGACCGGCUAAUUCCGUGCCAGCCGCUGC
rnacentral:rRNA from 1 species